UUUUUGUUCUUCUCUCUUUUUCCCUGUGAAAUCAAUCAACCACUCGCUGCCUUCUCGAUAUCUUCUUCCUGUACCGUAAAAAAAGAAACAUCAAGAGGGCGAAGAAAGAAAGAAAAAGAAGAAGGUAAAUUAAAUAAAUAUUUGAAGCUGGAAAUUGUUACAAUGCUUUGUUGAUCACUUUCAUGUCUCUCCCCCCAACCAAACGCUCUCUCAGCUCCAACGCCGCUGCUUCCCCCUCAUCCUCCUCUUCUUCUUCUCGCUUUCAGCCACCGAUGAAGAAAGCCAGGUCCCAAGCCGUGGCUUGCUCUCUCGACCCGAAUAAGAACUGCCUUCACAACCACCACAACAACCAAGGCGACAACGACGUCGUUUUGGACCAUUCGUCUAUGGCCCUCGACUAUGAUUCCAAGUCCGACGAUGCCCGUGCUCCCGCCGCCGCUAUUUUGUCUCGCAAAAAGGCUAUCCCACUUCAACCCGCCAAAAAGCUCGUCAUCAAACUCGUUAAAGCCUGUACAGCAGCUUCAUAAGGAACAACUUCAUCGGGGUUAACUUGGAUCCUUCUCUACUACCUGAAUCAAGAUUCGAGUUUGGGCAGCAUUGAUUUCAUUGAAGAUGAACCUGUUCUACUGUCACAAGUCAAGGUUAGACAAGAAUAUGAGAUUGACCUCACUAUUUUUACUGGGCUAUACCGAUAUCGACUAGGGGAUGCGGCGGAAGUGAGCGGAUUUCACAACAGGACAUCAAAGCAGAAUUUUAUAUGCAGGAAGAAGCUAAUAUGGGCUGUUAACAUCGACAAAAACACCGAAAAGAACCUUCAGUUAGUGGUCGAGAGAGGGUCCGAGCUGUUAAGCAAUCACCGAGCCGAGUUCGUCGAUUUCACGAGCAGUGCCGAAGUCAUGCGACCAUGGAGCAGAAAAAGGUUGAAGAAGAUGCAAAGAAAGGAGAUGAAUCUAAAGGAGAAUCUGCUCAAUAACCUCAAGAGGUUAUCUUGAAAGUUUACAUGCACGGUGAAGCUUGUGCUCAAGAGAUCAAGAAACAUAUCAAAAGAAUGAAAGGAAGGUGUUGUUCAGACCUCGUGUGGCGUUCGAUCUGGAUCAGGCACGAGACAAAACGGUGAGAUAAGGAAUUGAAUCAGACUCGCGGAACGAUUGACGGACAUAUUCGUUGAUGAAAAUGACGUGGAUUUGUUGCUUCUACAGAACGAUAGAGAUGAUAGGGUUCUUCAAUGGUUACAAGCUUUAGAUAUGCAAUUAAUCGGCGAUUGUUGAACCGAUGAGAGGCUAAAACCUUUGUUGAAAGUCAACGUAUCAAACAGCAUCGCCGAGGAUCGAUUAUUAGCUCAUUUGAGUCGGUGCUUUGAGCCAUCGGAAAUUGGUAUACUGGGGAGGUAUUCUUGCAUUCCAUUGGUUUCAGUUUGAGUAUGUGAUAAAAUGAGGAAGGCGAAAUUACUAGGAAAAUUAUUUGAAGUCGUAUUUGUACGGUGGAUGGUCCGUGUUCAUGAGAAAAAGAUGGAAGUUAGAAAUCAAGUUGGUGAGAUUAAAUUUAAGAGUUAUAUUUUGGUUGACGUCCUGAAUCUGAAGUUUGUUUCGUCAAAUUCGAACUCGGUAAGCUGUUUUUGACUGAUUUAUCACCC